rnacentral:rRNA from 1 species
AGAGUUUGAUCAUGGCUCAGAACGAACGCUGGCGGCAUGGCUAAGACAUGCAAGUCGUACGGUGUGUUGUAGCAAUAUGAUACACAGUGGCGAACGGGUGAGUACAAAAUAGGUAACGUACCAUGGACUCAGGGAUAACCCCGGGAGCUUGCUCCCUUUGCGAAAGUGGGAUUAAUACCUGAUGAAAUCGCGAUGCGGCAUCACAUUGCGAUCAAAACCGGGGACCGCAAGGCCUGGUGGUCUUUGAUCGGCCUAUUUCCUAUCAGCUAGUUGGUGAGGUAACGGCUCACCAAGGCAACGACGGGUAGCCGGACUGAGAGGUUGUACGGCCACAUCGGGACUGAGACACUGCCCGGACAUCUACGGAUGGCUGCAGUAACGAAUCUUCCGCAAUGGGCGAAAGCCUGACGGAGCAAUGCCGCGUGAAGGACGAAGUCCUUCGGGAUGUAAACUUCUUUUGAGGUGAAGAAAGCAAGGCCGGCUAACACCCGGUUGCGCGGAUCUAGCCUCGAAUAAGCCUCGGCUAACUCUGUGCCAGCAGCCGCGGUAAUACAGAGGAGGCAAGCGUUGUUCGGAAUCACUGGGCUUAAAGCGCGUGUAGGCGGCCCGUCAAGUACCUUGUGAAAUCCCUCGGCUCAACCGGGGAAUGGCUGGGUAUACUGACAGGCUUGAGGUUGGUAGGGGUGCCUGGAACUCUAGGUGGAGCGGUGAAAUGCGUAGAUAUCUAGAGGAACGCCCGUGGCGAAAGCGGGGCACUGGGCCACACCUGACGCUAAGACGCGAAAGCGUGGGGAGCAAACGGGAUUAGAUACCCUAGUAGUCC